rnacentral:rRNA from 1 species
ACGCUCGACACCUACGGAAGGCAGCAGUGGGGAAUAUUGCACAAUGGGGGAAACCCUGAUGCAGCGACGCCGCGUGAGCGAAGAAGUAUUUCGGUAUGUAAAGCUCUAUCAGCAGGGAAGAAAUUGACGGUACCUGACUAAGAAGCACCGGCUAAAUACGUGCCAACAGCCGCGGUAAUCUGAGCGGGCUGGCAAGGC